CCUACGGGAGGCAGCAGUGGGGGAUAUUGCACAAUGGGGGAAACCCUGAUGCAGCGACGCCGCGUGUGGGAAGACGGUCUUCUGGAUUGUAAACCACUGUCCCCAGGGACGAAAAUGACGGUACCUGGGGCGGAAGCUCCGGCUAACUACGUGCCAGCAGCCGCGGUAAUACGUAGGGAGCAAGCGUUGUCCGGAAUUACUGGGUGUAAAGGGGGCGUAGGCGGGGAUGCAAGUUGGGUGUCAAAACUACCGGCUCAACCGAUAGUCGCACUCAAAACUGCACAUCUUGAGUGAAGUAGAGGCAGGCGGAAUUCCUAGUGUAGCGGUGAAAUGCGUAGAUAUUAGGAGGAACACCAGUGGCGAAGGCGGCCUGCUGGGCUUUUACUGACGCUGAGGCUCGAAAGUGUGGGGAGCAAACAGGAUUAGAUACCCCAGUAGUC
rnacentral:rRNA from 1 species